rnacentral:rRNA from 1 species
ACUAAGCGUACACGGUGGAUGCCCUGGCAGUCAGAGGCGAUGAAGGGCGUGCUAAUCUGCGAUAAGCGCCGGUAAGGUGAUAUGAACCGUUAUAACCGGCGAUACCCGAAUGGGGAAACCCAGUGUGAUUCGUCACACUAUCAUUAACUGAAUCCAUAGGUUAAUGAGGCGAACCGGGGGAACUGAAACAUCUAAGUACCCCGAGGAAAAGAAAUCAACCGAGAUUCCCCCAGUAGCGGCGAGCGAACGGGGAGGAGCCCAGAGCCUGAAUCAGCAUGUGUGUUAGUGGAAGCGUCUGGAAAGGCGCGCGAUACAGGGUGACAGCCCCGUACACAAAAGCGCAUGUGCUGUGAGCUCGAUGAGUAGGGCGGGACACGUGGUAUCCUGUCUGAAUAUGGGGGGACCAUCCUCCAAGGCUAAAUACUCCUGACUGACCGAUAGUGAACCAGUACCGUGAGGGAAAGGCGAAAAGAACCCCGGCGAGGGGAGUGAAAAAGAACCUGAAACCGUGUACGUACAAGCAGUGGGAGCACAGGUUUACCUGUGUGACUGCGUACCUUUUGUAUAAUGGGUCAGCGACUUAUAUUCUGUAGCAAGGUUAACCGUAUAGGGGAGCCGUAGGGAAACCGAGUCUUAACCGGGCGUUAAGUUGCAGGGUAUAGACCCGAAACCCGGUGAUCUAGCCAUGGGCAGGUUGAAGGUUGGGUAACACUAACUGGAGGACCGAACCGACUAAUGUUGAAAAAUUAGCGGAUGACCUGUGGCUGGGGGUGAAAGGCCAAUCAAACCGGGAGAUAGCUGGUUCUCCCCGAAAGCUAUUUAGGUAGCGCCUCGUGAAUUCAUCUCCGGGGGUAGAGCACUGUUUCGGCUAGGGGGCCAUCCCGGCUUACCAACCCGAUGCAAACUGCGAAUACCGGAGAAUGUUAUCACGGGAGACACACGGCGGGUGCUAACGUCCGUCGUGAAGAGGGAAACAACCCAGACCGCCAGCUAAGGUCCCAAAGUCAUGGUUAAGUGGGAAACGAUGUGGGAAGGCCCAGACAGCCAGGAUGUUGGCUUAGAAGCAGCCAUCAUUUAAAGAAAGCGUAAUAGCUCACUGGUCGAGUCGGCCUGCGCGGAAGAUGUAACGGGGCUAAACCAUGCACCGAAGCUGCGGCAGCGAACGUAUCACUUAAAGCGAUUCAGCGGGUUACGAUUGACGGAGCGAAGCGACGUCAAAGCGUAUACAAAGUCGAGUCGGUUUAAGGAUACGUUCGUUGGGUAGGGGAGCGUUCUGUAAGCCUGCGAAGGUGGCCUGUGAGGGUUGCUGGAGGUAUCAGAAGUGCGAAUGCUGACAUAAGUAACGAUAAAGCGGGUGAAAAGCCCGCUCGCCGGAAGACCAAGGGUUCCUGUCCAACGUUAAUCGGGGCAGGGUGAGUCGACCCCUAAGGCGAGGCCGAAAGGCGUAGUCGAUGGGAAACGGGUUAAUAUUCCCGUACUUGGUGUUACUGCGAAGGGGGGACGGAGAAGGCUAUGUUGGCCGGGCGACGGUUGUCCCGGUUUAAGCGUGUAGGUGUGUGUUCCAGGUAAAUCCGGUUCACUUUAACACUGAGGCGUGAUGACGAGGCACUACGGUGCUGAAGCAACAAAUGCCCUGCUUCCAGGAAAAGCCUCUAAGCAUCAGGUAACAUCAAAUCGUACCCCAAACCGACACAGGUGGUCAGGUAGAGAAUACCAAGGCGCUUGAGAGAACUCGGGUGAAGGAACUAGGCAAAAUGGUGCCGUAACUUCGGGAGAAGGCACGCUGACACGUAGGUGAAGUGAUUUACUCAUGGAGCUGAAGUCAGUCGAAGAUACCAGCUGGCUGCAACUGUUUAUUAAAAACACAGCACUGUGCAAACACGAAAGUGGACGUAUACGGUGUGACGCCUGCCCGGUGCCGGAAGGUUAAUUGAUGGGGUCAGCGCAAGCGAAGCUCCUGAUCGAAGCCCCGGUAAACGGCGGCCGUAACUAUAACGGUCCUAAGGUAGCGAAAUUCCUUGUCGGGUAAGUUCCGACCUGCACGAAUGGCGUAAUGAUGGCCAGGCUGUCUCCACCCGAGACUCAGUGAAAUUGAACUCGCUGUGAAGAUGCAGUGUACCCGCGGCAAGACGGAAAGACCCCGUGAACCUUUACUAUAGCUUGACACUGAACAUUGAGCCUUGAUGUGUAGGAUAGGUGGGAGGCUUUGAAGUGUGGACGCCAGUCUGCAUGGAGCCGACCUUGAAAUACCACCCUUUAAUGUUUGAUGUUCUAACGUGGACCCGUAAUCCGGGUUGCGGACAGUGUCUGGUGGGUAGUUUGACUGGGGCGGUCUCCUCCUAAAGAGUAACGGAGGAGCACGAAGGUUGGCUAAUCCUGGUCGGACAUCAGGAGGUUAGUGCAAUGGCAUAAGCCAGCUUGACUGCGAGCGUGACGGCGCGAGCAGGUGCGAAAGCAGGUCAUAGUGAUCCGGUGGUUCUGAAUGGAAGGGCCAUCGCUCAACGGAUAAAAGGUACUCCGGGGAUAACAGGCUGAUACCGCCCAAGAGUUCAUAUCGACGGCGGUGUUUGGCACCUCGAUGUCGGCUCAUCACAUCCUGGGGCUGAAGUAGGUCCCAAGGGUAUGGCUGUUCGCCAUUUAAAGUGGUACGCGAGCUGGGUUUAGAACGUCGUGAGACAGUUCGGUCCCUAUCUGCCGUGGGCGCUGGAGAACUGAGGGGGGCUGCUCCUAGUACGAGAGGACCGGAGUGGACGCAUCACUGGUGUUCGGGUUGUCAUGCCAAUGGCACUGCCCGGUAGCUAAAUGCGGAAGAGAUAAGUGCUGAAAGCAUCUAAGCACGAAACUUGCCCCGAGAUGAGUUCUCCCUGAGACUUAGAGUCUCCUGAAGGAACGUUGAAGACGACGACGUUGAUAGGCCGGGUGUGUAAGCGCAGCGAUGCGUUGAGCUAACCGGUACUAAUGAACCGUGAGGCUUAACC